GCUGGCGGCGUGCCUAACACAUGCAAGUCGCACGAGAAAGGGAGCAAUCCCUGAGUAAAGUGGCGCACGGGUGAGUAACACGUGACUAAUCUACCCUCGAGUGGGGAAUAACUGAGAGAAAUCUUAGCUAAUACCGCAUAACACUUACGAGUCAAAGCAGCAAUGCGCUUGGGGAGGAGGUCGCGGCCGAUUAGCUAGUUGGCGGGGUAAUGGCCCACCAAGGCGAUGAUCGGUAUCCGGCCUGAGAGGGCGCACGGACACACUGGAACUGAAACACGGUCCAGACUCCUACGGGAGGCAGCAGUGGGGAAUUUUGCGCAAUGGGGGAAACCCUGACGCAGCAACGCCGCGUGGAGGAUGAAAUAUCUUGGUAUGUAAACUCCUUUCGAUGGGGAAGAUUAUGACGGUACCCAUAGAAGAAGCCCCGGCUAACUUCGUGCCAGCAGCCGCGGUAAUACGAGGGGGGCAAGCGUUGUUCGGAUUUAUUGGGCGUAAAGGGUGCGUAGGCGGUUUGGCAAGUCUUAUGUGAAAUCUAUGGGCUCAACCCAUA
rnacentral:rRNA from 1 species